rnacentral:tRNA from 1 species
GGGGAUGUAGCUCAGCUGGGAGAGCGCCGCCCUUGCACGGCGGAGGUCAUCGGUUCGAUCCCGAUCAUCUCCACCA